rnacentral:rRNA from 1 species
AUGAGCAAGAGUAAUCCAGAUAAAGUUCCAGGAACGACUACGCAUCGUUCCCCAUUUAAAGACAUAACGAACUCGUCUAUGAUUGAGAAUGCAAAUGUCACUACUAAUAGUCAAGAAGCAAAAAAGAAUACAUUGUAUGCCCGAAUGUCUGAUGAGAAGAGAGCAGCAUUCCUUGAAAAACGUCGUAUGUCCCGACAAGAAAAGAAGUCUCAGGCUCUGAAUAUUGUUAAUGGUCAACUAACAGUUGAGGCACAUGCUCCGUUAGGAUCCAAGGAAUGUACAUCUUUGAGAAGCAUAACCAACACACACACAAAUGCGGGAUCUGCCGCCUCCCUUGGACUUCGCCGGCAAGGCGUGAUCCGUCGUCGCCACCCCACUCUUCCCACGGGAGGAUGCGGCUGCUAUCAUCAACCUCCGCUCCAUGGGCGUACUCUCAAAUUCAAUAUGUUAGAUUUGCAGAGACUAAUGUUGCAUGACGCAAGAAGAAACAUGUGGUUCUGUUGCGAAUCACCACAGCGAUGCAGUAGGUUUCCAGAUUGA